rnacentral:sRNA from 1 species
CUCCCCGCUGCCCUCCCCGCGCGCUUUCCCCGGCCCGCGGCCCUGACCGCCCCGUGUCCGGCCAGGAUCAACUCGUAGGCUUUACGAGAAGAAGAUCUUCGAGUACGAGACCCAGAGGCGGCGGCUCUCGCCCCCCAGCUCGUCCGCCGCCUCCUCUUAUAGCUUCUCUGACUUGAAUUCUACUAGAGGGGAUGCAGAUAUGUAUGAUCUUCCCAAGAAAGAGGACGCUUUACUCUACCAGAGCAAGGGCUACAAUGACGACUACUAUGAAGAGAGCUACUUCACCACCAGGACUUAUGGGGAGCCCGAGUCUGCGGGCCCGUCCAGGGCUGUCCGCCAGUCAGUGACUUCAUUCCCAGAUGCUGACGCUUUCCAUCGCCAGGUGCGUGAUGACGAUCUUUUGUCUUCUUCUGAAGAGGAGUGCAAGGAUAGGUGCGUAGUGGGGGAGCCCAGGGACGGGCUGGUUCUGGGUCCAGGCUCCUGGCCCACUUGCUCCCCUCUUUUGCCUCAGGGAACGCCCCAUGUACGGCCGGGACAGUGCCUACCAGAGCAUCACGCACUACCGCCCUGUUUCAGCCUCCAGGAGCUCCCUGGACCUGUCCUAUUAUCCUACUUCCUCCUCCACCUCUUUUAUGUCCUCCUCAUCAUCUUCCUCUUCAUGGCUCACCCGCCGUGCCAUCCGGCCUGAAAACCAUGCUCCUGGGGCUGGGCUGGGCCAGGAUCGCCAGGUCCCGCUCUGGGGCCAGCUGCUGCUUUUCCUGGUCUUUGUGAUCGUCCUCUUCUUCAUUUACCACUUCAUGCAGGCUGAAGAAGGCAACCCCUUCUAGAGGGAGCCAUGAGGGUCUGGGCUUCAGAGCUAGGUCUUUGGGGAAGUCCUGGCUGACUGCCUUAGCAGUGGGGGUGGGGGUGGG